rnacentral:lncRNA from 10 species
UUUCAGAUCUUAGUUUACCAACCCAUGUUGUAAAGUACCGCAGCUGGACAGAGUGGAAGCUCUGAAGACCUUUGCUCUGAACAAGUAAUUGAGAAGGGAAGAUGAGAGGGCAAUAGUACAGCACAAGUCAAGCAUGGGGGCUUUGGCAGAACUUAUUGAGCAAAGAUUUUUCCAGAGUCAAUGUGAAGUUCACUGGACUGAGUUCCCAGAAUUGACCAUUUCUCUUUUUUUUCCAUCUGUUUUUCUCUAUUCCUCCAUCAUGCUUUGGCUCUCCACUUUUUCUAAGACCUCUAUAACUGUUCAUGUAAGCACGUUUGUUCAUUUCCCCUAUUCUACAACC